UACGUAGGUCCCGAGCGUUGUCCGGAUUUAUUGGGCGUAAAGCGAGCGCAGGUGGUUUAUUAAGUCUGGUGUAAAAGGCAGUGGCUCAACCAUUGUAUGCAUUGGAAACUGAUAGACUUGAGUGCAGGAGAGGAGAGUGGAAUUCCAUGUGUAGCGGUGAAAUGCGUAGAUAUAUGGAGGAACACCGGUGGCGAAAGCGGCUCUCUGGCCUGUAACUGACACUGAGGCUCGAAAGCGUGGGGAGCAAGCAGG
rnacentral:rRNA from 1 species